UCACACCCUUAUACAUAUACUAAAAUUGGAGCAAUUCAGAGCUGCUUAGCAUGGCCCCUGUGCAAAGACAGCAUGCAAAUUUAUGAAAUGUUUCAUAUUUUU
rfam:Octopus bimaculoides Scaffold252449_contig_2, whole genome shotgun sequence.